AUUGAACGCUGGCGGCAUGCCUUACACAUGCAAGUCGAACGGCAGCACGGGGGCAACCCUGGUGGCGAGUGGUGAACGGGUGAGUAAUGCUUCGGCACGUGCCUAGUAGCGGGGGAUAACAUACCGAAAGAUGUGCUAAUACCGCAUACGAUCUACGGAGGAAAGAGGGGGAUCGCAAGACCUCUCACUAGUAGAGGGGCCGAAGCCUGAUUAGCUAGUUGGUGGGGUAAUAGCCCACCAAGGCGACGAUCAGUAGCUGGUUUGAGAGAACGACCAGCCACACUGGGACUGAGACACGGCCCAGACUCCUACGGGAGGCAGCAGUGGGGAAUUUUGGACAAUGGGGGAAACCCUGAUCCAGCCAUGCCGCGUGAGUGAAGAAGGCCUUCGGGUUGUAAAGCUCUUUUGUCCGGAAAGAAAUCGCUUAGGUUAAUACCUUGAGUGGAUGACGGUACCUGGAGAAUAAGCUCCGGCUAACUCCGUGCCAGCCGCCGCGGUAA
rnacentral:rRNA from 1 species